AGAAUCAACGCUGGCGGCGUGCCUAACACAUGCAAGUCGAACGAGAAAGUGGAGCAAUCCAUGAGUAAAGUGGCGCACGGGUGAGUAACACGUGACUAACCUACCUUUUAGUGGGGGAUAACCUAGGGAAACCUGGGCUAAUACCGCAUAAUACCUACGGGUCAAAGCAGCAAUGCGCUGAAAGAGGGGGUCGCGGUCGAUUAGUUAGUUGGCAGGGUAAUGGCCUACCAAGACUGUGAUCGAUAUCCGGCCUGAGAGGGCGCACGGACACACUGGAACUGAAACACGGUCCAGACUCCUACGGGAGGCAGCAGUGGGGAAUUUUGCGCAACGGGGGAAACCCUGACGCAGCAACGCCGCGUGGAGGAUGAAGUCCCUUGGGACGUAAACUCCUUUCGAUCGGGACGAUAAUGACGGUACCGGAAGAAGAAGCCCCGGCUAACUUCGUGCCAGCAGCCGC
rnacentral:rRNA from 1 species